UUUCCGUAGGUGAACCUGCGGAGGGAACAUUAUUGUAUAACCGAGGUGCGAGGGCUGUCGCUGACCCGAGGGGUCGUGCACGCCCGAGUGCCCUCACACACAUCCAUCUCACCCCUAUGUGCACCACCGCGUGGGUCCCCCUUUGGCUUGUUCGGAGGGGGGCUUACGUUUUCACAAAAACUUUGUAUGCAGUGUAGAAUGUAUUUUUUGUUUUUGCGAUCACGCAAUCAAUACAACUUUCAACAACGGAUCUCUUGGCUCUC
rnacentral:misc_RNA from 1 species